rnacentral:lncRNA from 1 species
GUUAGUGUUAGGGUUAAGGUUAGGAUUUAAUAAUUAUAAGUGAAUAAGUUAUAAGGAUUUAUAAUUAUAACUUAAUAAUUAGGUUUAAGACAUUUUUGGAACGACGCCUACCCGAUGAGGUACAUCCGACGGGCACCCCAUCCACCGUCGAUUGGCUAGGCAAAGCUGCACCGUCGGUCCAGUGUGUCAGCUAUUGUUUCCUCGACUCGACGUCGUCAUACCCUGUCAACUAUAUUCCCGUACCGCAACCAUUCCGCCAACUGUAGCAAUGUACGGUCGACUAUAUUUAUUUCGAUUGCCGAUCGUGUUGUUCCAUUGCCACAAUUCCUAUUCGGCGUCCUUAUUUUUUUUAGGUCGGAUUUUUCAUUCUCCGGGUCGCGUCGUCGUCGUCGUCACCGUUUCCUUCUCCUACUCCAAGCAUCAAAUCUUCUCCUCC